rnacentral:misc_RNA from 1 species
CAUCAGCUUACUCUUGGUUUCGGAUUGCCCGAGAUCUUCGCAGUGAAAACGGCAUCGGAUCCCUCGACAAGCUUCGAGUUUCUGGGUUUCUGCGUGAUUUGCGGAGGUGCAACCGGUCCCAGACUACGAUCUACCACCGUCGAAAUCUGCACGUCGGAUUCGCCCACGAAACGGCGAGUAAUCGACUCUCGAAACUCCGUUUCCCGCAGCAGUCUAUAUUCGAAAGUGUCCACCUGCAAAUUAGUCAUACUAUUAUCCUUCGUUCAACCAUAAAUCAAAAAAAAAAAAAAAAAAGGAAAGAAAAAGAAGAAAAACGGAAGAAUCUUUAUAAAUACGUAUGCUACAUGCUUAAUAAAAAGAGUAAGAUAGGACAAAAGUUGUCGAGAAUGAAAGAGGAAGGAUAAAGGAAAUACUUAGGGUAGUAGAGAAGAAAGAAGGAGAUAGAAUAGAAUAGACAGAGAGAAACGACUUACUAUUAAAGCGUGUUCAAAUCGUUCCACGGCAACAACGACAGAAAAUGCAUUCGAGGAAGCUCACUACGCGCUGAUAAAAGAACAAAAGAUAAAAAGGAAGAACGAAAAAGCGUAUCCACCAGCGUUCGCGAAUUUUUCUUCAACUUCUCACUAUUUGUGUGUUGACUAGUUCUCCUCGCCCCUGUCGUAAAAUCGUUCGUUUUGUUUUUACGUACGUACAAAAUGCAAAAAAAAGAGAAAAAUGACUCGCACCCUUCGAAGGGCAGAAUAUUAUUGCUCUAAAUACUAAUUUAUAAUUUUCUUCGUGCCCGCUUAUUGAUAGUUUUUCAUUUAUAAAUAAUUUUAUUUAUCUUAUCACGGGCAUUGUAUCUUUCGUAUCAUUGCGAUUUUGAAUAAUGUCAUCUUAAUUGAAAUUUGCUUGAUUUUAUCGAUAGAAAAAUAUUCGUUGAUUCGUUUGUUCGAUGUUCUUUAGAGAUUGUAAAGGAUCGAUUAAGCGAAACGACCGCGAAUCAUGAAGUUUGGCUGAAGCUAGAGGCUCAAUGUUCCACCACCUUUGUAUUAGAUUACGUUGCGCUUUUUUUUUUAUUUAUUUUUGCUUAAUCCCUUCUCGACCAUAAUUAAAUAGGCGCGUAUACUGAUCGUCUGUUACCUGGCACCUGCAAGGUGGCGGAAGUUACUGUCGAACCUAAGCUAUUCGUUGCAGUGCACGCGUAAGUGCCAGCGUCCUCUGAAAAGAAGAAAAAGAGAUUUCUUUUAUUAGAAGAAUUGAUAUACAAUUUUCUAAAAUAUAUGUAAAUCAUACUAUUAUUAAUAU